rnacentral:lncRNA from 1 species
UGGAUAUGCUCCCACCUGACAGAUGUCUGCCUUUUUUAAUUACAAUUGAUGGGGAGAGCAGUAACUACAUCAAUGCUGCUCUUAUGGAUGUAAGAGACUGACUCUUUGUUUGUGAAAAAUGCCCUUAAAAUCUACAGAACUCAACUGGACACUGGCUACUUUUUUUUUUUAAUUUGGAAUUAUAAAACAGAUUAGAAAGGAUAACUGAAAAUUGUCAAUGAAAUACAAAUGGAAAAGGAUUUUAGGCUGUAUCUCCAGGGAUUCUUAGCAACUAUAACAUAUAUAGGUUUAUUGUAGAUUUGAGAUUGAUAGUUACAGUAUCCAUAUAGAAAAAAAUCAUGUUAUAUAUUUCAUCUUAAUUGUUUUAAGAUUUAAAUUAAUUUCAUCUAAAUUGAGUUAAGAGAAAUUGGCACUUUAUUUUUUUUAACAGUAAGAACACAUUUUAAAAUCACAGAAUGCCACAAUCUAACCCAAUUGUGGAUUUUUUAAUUUGGAAAUAGUUAUCUGUGAUGCUCGUUGUUCCAGUAAUUUAAAAGUAACGAGUUUUAUUAUUAGCUGAGACUAUUUAGAAAUAACUAAGGAAGACAUGAGCAAUAUCAUAUUAACAAACCUACCAUCAAGAAAGAAUUAUUUUGACUUGCUGCAUUGCUAAUACUUACAGGUUCUCCUGCGUGCAUCCCAUGUGACAGUUGUCCAUAAACAGAACAACAGGGACAGGUUUACAAUUCUCUCAUCAACCAUCUUGCAUUGGUUAUCUCGGGAAGAAGCUAGAAAGCUAUUAGGAAUCAGAAUCCUUUAAGGCAAUUUAUUAUUUUCAUUCCUGUUUCAUUUUCAUCUACGAAACUCUAGCAAGGAAAAUAUAGGAAAGGAGUCUUUUUUUUCUCCUGACUAUUAUGAGGUUUUCUAAGUUGCUACCCCUUUUCUGUUUUUUUUUUUUUAAAGACAGGGUCUCAUGUAUUCCAUAAGACUUGUAACAUUCUGUGUAGUGUCUCCACCUCUCCAGUGCUUAGGAUACUAGGCAUGUACCACCAUACCCAAGUACUUGUUGGGUUUUGGAAAAUUAAUGUCAAUAAAUGUAUAGCCUAGUAACAAUGUGCAGCAUCCUAUGGUCUCCUGCAAAGACUAUGCUUACAUGGUUUUUUGCUUUCUUUUGUGCUACAGAACCUAAUAAUCUGAAAGCAGGCUCUCACUGAAACUAAUCCCAACCUUGAUGUACCCUGAAACAUGCCAGUAUAGCUUUAAUUCGAUAUAUUUGUAUUUUAGUAUAGGUCAUGACUGACAGAUUGCCCAGGCCAGAUAAACAUUGCUUUAACAACUACAGAAAGUAGAUACCACACUGAGAACAUGUUGAUGUUCUCACAGCAUAAUAACUGUACAAUUUUGAGGUACCUGUGGUUUUUCUUUUAUUGAAGAAGAAAUGAAUCUUGUAACUUUAUUUACACACACACUUGUAGAAAUGAAAUACAUAUGGACAAAGCAGAGAUGUUUUGCUGAUUUUUCUUGCAGCCUUCAGAAACUCAUUACCUUUGGGAAAUUGAAACUGUCAUGGACGGUCUUUCCCUCAGGGAGUUCACCCAUCUCUCCCUCUGGGUGUGUCCUACGUUAACAUUUGUCCGUGAGAUAAAACUGGGAGGGAUUCAAACACUUUGACAACCUUAAACUCUGUCAUUUACUGGUUCCAUUACAUUCUGGAACCAGUAUGUCCUGUAGCUUAGGCAACAUUCCGGUUCCAUACCUAUGUAAUGUUGCUACCACUACUUGGUCCUACAAUGGAGUACACUGAAUCUGUUUGUACAACUGACUGUGAAUUUUAUUCAUUUUUUCAGACUUUUAUAAAUAAUAACAAUGAAAAUAUGAUCAUGUCUACAUCCCUUCCCCCUUCCUGACUAUGCAUUUUAUGUUCUUGUAUUUCUCAAGUAUCCCAUUUUUCCACAGAGCUAUAGGCAGCCAGCAGCUUUCAUCGUCACACAAUACCCACUGCCAAACACUGUGAAAGACUUCUGGAGAUUAGUAUAUGAUUACGGAUGUACCUCCAUCGUGAUGCUAAAUGAAGUGGACCUGUCUCAGGUUGGUAGACAUACAUUGACAAUGUGCUUUUGGAUACAACCUAGCAGAAUAAUAAUACGAUAUCAUUUCCUACUUUAUAAGGACUCUAAUUCCCUUCCCAGAGUU